rnacentral:rRNA from 1 species
UACGUAGGUGACCAGCGUUGUCCGGAUUUACUGGGCGUAAAGAGCGCGCAGGCGGUCGUUCAAGUCGAGUGUGAAAGCCCCCGGCUCAACUGGGGAGGGUCAUUCGAUACUGAUCGACUUGAAGGCAGGAAAGGGAAGCGGAAUUCCCGGUGUAGUGGUGAAAUGCGUAGAUAUCGGGAGGAACACCAGUGGCGAAGGCGGCUUCCUGGCCUGUUCUUGACGCUGAGGCGCGAAAGCUAGGGGAGCAAACGGG